rnacentral:rRNA from 1 species
UAAUACGUAGGGUGCGAGCGUUAAUCGGAAUUACUGGGCGUAAAGCGUGCGCAGGCGGUUGGAUAAGUUUGAUGUGAAAUCCCCGGGCUCAACCUGGGAACUGCAUUGAAGACUGUCUGACUAGAGUACGGCAGAGGGGGGUGGAAUUCCACGUGUAGCAGUGAAAUAGCGUAGAGAUGUGGAGGAACACCGAUGGCGAAGGCAGCCCCCUCGGGUCGAUACUGACGCUCAUGCACGAAAGCGUGGGAGCAAACAGGAUUAGAUACCCUGGUAGUCCACGCCCUAAACGAUGUCAACUAGUUGUUGGUAGGGUUAAACCUAUUAGUAACGUAGCUAACGCGUGAAGUUGACCGCCUGGGGAGUACGGUCGCAAGAUUAAAACUCAAAGGAAUUGACGGGGACCCGCACAAGCGGUGGAUGAUGUGGAUUAAUUCGAUGCAACGCGAAAAACCUUACCUACCCUUGACAUGUCAGGAAUCCCGAAGAGAUUUGGGAGUGCCGCAAGGAACCUGAACACA